CACAAAUUUCUGUACCAGUGGGGUCCCUCGGCCUGGCCUAUGGAGAUCAUGCCGAAAACGGCUCUCUGACAUCCGCUAGAGGUCCUGGAUUGCUAGAGGAUGGUUCUCAGGUGAUACACCCCAGAAUCUGGCUCCCUUCCAGCUGCAGCUGCCAAGUCACCACAGCUCAGCAGCUCUUAUGUUGAGCAUCUGCCCCCUGGUGGUCAGUGCAUGUCAUA